UACGUAGGGUGCGAGCGUUGUCCGGAAUUAUUGGGCGUAAAGCGCUCGUAGGCGGUCUGUCGCGUCUGCUGUGAAAACUCGGGGCUUAACCCCGGGCCUGCAGUGGGUACGGGCAGACUAGAGUGCGGUAGGGGAGACUGGAAUUCCUGGUGUAGCGGUGGAAUGCGCAGAUAUCAGGAGGAACACCGAUGGCGAAGGCAGGUCACUGGGCCGCAACUGACGCUGAGGAGCGAAAGCAUGGGGAGCGAACAGG
rnacentral:rRNA from 1 species